rnacentral:rRNA from 1 species
GAUGAACGCUGGCGGCGUGCCUAAUACAUGCAAGUCGAGCGAACAGACGAGGAGCCUGCUUCUCUGACGUUAGCGGCGGACGGGUGAGUAACACGUGGAUAACCUACCUAUAAGACUGGGAUAACUUCGGGAAACCGGAGCUAAUACCGGAUAAUAUAUUGAACCGCAUGGUUCAAUAGUGAAAGACGGUUUUGCUGUCACUUAUAGAUGGAUCCGCGCCGCAUUAGCUAGUUGGUAAGGUAACGGCUUACCAAGGCAACGAUGCGUAGCCGACCUGAGAGGGUGAUCGGCCACACUGGAACUGAGACACGGUCCAGACUCCUACGGGAGGCAGCAGUAGGGAAUCUUCCGCAAUGGGCGAAAGCCUGACGGAGCAACGCCGCGUGAGUGAUGAAGGUCUUCGGAUCGUAAAACUCUGUUAUUAGGGAAGAACAAAUGUGUAAGUAACUAUGCACGUCUUGACGGUACCUAAUCAGAAAGCCACGGCUAACUACGUG